AGUUGGGAUCGAAGGUUAUUCGGAUCGUAAAGCUCUGUUGUUAGGGAAGAACAAGUACCGUUCGAAUAGGGCGGUACCUUGACGGUACCUAACCAGAAAGCCACGGCUAACUACGUGCCAGCAGCCGCGGUAAUACGUAGGUGGCAAGCGUUGUCCGGAAUUAUUGGGCGUAAAGGGCUCGCAGGCGGUUUCUUAAGUCUGAUGUGAAAGCCCCCGGCUCAACCGGGGAGGGUCAUUGGAAACUGGGGAACUUGAGUGCAGAAGAGGAGAGUGGAAUUCCACGUGUAGCGGUGAAAUGCGUAGAGAUGUGGAGGAACACCAGUGGCGAAGGCGACUCUCUGGUCUGUAACUGACGCUGAGGAGCGAAAGCGUGGGGAGCGAACAGGAUUAGAUACCCUGGUAGUCCACGCCGUAAACGAUGAGUGCUAAGUGUUAGGGGGUUUCCGCCCCUUAGUGCUGCAGCUAACGCAUUAAGCACUCCGCCCGGGGAGA
rnacentral:rRNA from 1 species